rnacentral:tRNA from 1 species
GGCCGAGUAGCUCAGUCGGUAGAGCAGAGGAUUGAAAAUCCUUGUGUCGGCAGUUCGAUUCUGUCCUCGGCCA